rnacentral:rRNA from 1 species
CCUACGGGCGGCAGCAGUGAGGAAUAUUGGUCAAUGGACGAGAGUCUGAACCAGCCAAGUAGCGUGAAGGAUGAAUGCCCUAUGGGUUGUAAACUUCGUUUAUAUGGGAAUAAAAUGUUCCACGGGCGGGAUUUUGUAUGUACCAUAUGAAUAAGGAUCGGCUAACUCCGUGCCAGCAGACGCGGUAAUACGGAGGAUCCGUUCGUUAUCAGGUUUGCUUGGGUGUAAAGGGAGCGUAGGUGGAUUGUUAAGUUAGUUGUGAAAGUUUGCGGCUUAACCGUAGAAUUGCAGUUGACACUGGCAGUCUUGAGUACAGUAGAGGUGGGCGGAAUUCGUGGUGUAGCGGUGAAAUGCUUAGAUAUCACGAAGAACUCCGAUUGCGAAGGCAGUUCACUGGACUGCAACUGACACUGAGGCUCGAAAGUGUGGGUAUCAAACAGGAUUAGAUACCCGGGUAGUC